rnacentral:rRNA from 1 species
AGUCGAGGGGCAGCACGGGUAGCAAUACUUGGGUGGCGACCGGCGCAAGGGUGCGUAACGCGUGAGCAACAUGCCCGUAUCAGGGGGAUAAUCUAGGGAAACUUAGUCUAAUACCCCAUAGCAUUAUUAAUCGGCAUCGGUUAAUAAUUAAAGCUUUGGUGGAUACGGAUUGGCUCGCGUGACAUUAGUUAGAUGGUAAGGUAACGGCUUACCAUGACUAUGAUGUCUAGGGGUUCUGAGAGGAAGAUCCCCCACACUGGAACUGAGACACGGUCCAGACUCCUACGGGAGGCAGCAGUGAGGAAUAUUGGACAAUGGAUGGAAAUCUGAUCCAGCCAUGCCGCGUGCAGGAAGACGGUCCUAUGGAUUGUAAACUGCUUUUAUAUGGGAGCAAUAAGGUCUUUGCGAAGACUGAUGAGAGUACCAUAUGAAUAAGCAUCGGCUAACUCCGUGCCAGCAGCCGCGGUAAUACGGAGGAUGCGAGCGUUAUCCGGAUUUAUUGGGUUUAAAGGGUGCGUAGGCGGUCUGAUAAGUCAGUGGUGAAAGUUUUCAGCUUAACUGGAAAAAUGCCGUUGAUACUGUCAGGCUAGAAUAUGGUUGCUGUGAGUGGAAUGUGUGGUGUAGCGGUGAAAUGCUUAGAUAUCACACAGAAUAUCGAUUGCGAAGGCAGCUCACAAAGCCAUUAUUGACGCUGAGGCACGAAAGUGUGGGGAUCAAACAGGAUUAGAUACCCUGGUAGUCCACACUGUAAACGAUGAUAACUAGUUGUUGGCGAUACACAGUCAGUGACCAAGCGAAAGCGAUAAGUUAUCCACCUGGGGAGUACGACCGCAAGGUUGAAAC